UCCACGCAGAGUGCCUGUGGGGCACUGGAGUUUUCAGGAGGGGUCCACCAUAUUUUGCCACCGAGACUGCUCAUUUCUACAAGAGGAAGGCCUAUUUCUUUCUGGGAGAGUAAGGAUAAUUUAUGCUCUGAAAUCCAGUGUGCAUUCCGGAAUGUCUCCGAUUUCUCUAGGCUGAUGGAACGAACACAAGAGGUCACAUUAACAUCCACCUCGACACUGAACCUUUCUAGGAGAACACAGGAUUUCAGCUUAUCAGCUAUUCGGUCUACUUAGGCAUUUCUGCGCUUCUCCAGGGACUCAGAGAAACUCUUCAAGCACAGUGCUCCUGUGGCUACAGCAAGUUAGGUACAUGUGAUAAAUCAGGAGCUCUUCACACUUAAUUGAAGAUGCAGCUUUCUAAAACAGAUCGCCAGCAGCCGCGGCUCCCUGAGAAAGAAAGAAAGAGACAAAAUCAUCUUUCCCCUGAGAAUUGGCUUUUUAAUGAAAAGGACAGAAAAGAACGAAUAUGCCCAAUGCCGAGACUGGAUUGUGCGGGACCCCGGGCUAUUCAGAUCUAGGAGAUGGCGUGCCAAAGCUGGCUGGGGAAAGGAGCCCGACCUGUCAGUCACCAUACCCCGGGUGACUCGAGAACACGCAUGAAGUUCCCACCAGCUCCCGAGCAGUGCGGACUGCGGGAAAAGGACUGGCUAUCACCGAAAGCCUAUCGUGCGUGAGUUUGCAGAGCAGCCCGGCCGUGUCUGAAAGCGGCGUGUGCUUCUUAUUUUGGCUUGUACCUUUUCUCUUUGUUUGGCCCAAGCUUGCUCUGCAGAGCUGGUUUCACGCCACCCUUUUCAAAUUAGCUCUUUUGCACAGUUAUUGGUUUGCCUCAUCCAGUCCUUUUGAUUGGCGAGCUAUUUCUAAAGAAAGCACCCUCUGAGCCUUCCAAGCCCCGCCGUCUCAGCGGGUGGCGCUCACCCAACGCUAAGGUGACCCAGAGGCAAAGCUGCCAGUCCAGUGAGGCAGCGCCACAUUCGGUGAGCCCAGGCUCUUCUGAGAAAACAACAAAGCCACACUUCGCAGAGUGAAGACAGUUUUAGAGAGCCCACAGACCCCUCCGAAGCCCAUGCCUGGUCCCUGGAUUAAGAUCACUGCCAAAGGUAGCCCCGAGACCUUCCUGAGCGAACCAAGAACCUCCUCCAGGGAACGCAGCGGGUUCUUCUGACAGCGCGACACCAUCCCAUGGUUGCAGGUGCCCUCUCGACCUUAUAUUGUCCUAGACUCUUGUCACCAAGAAACAGCUCCAAAGAGCGCUGGGCUCCAGGGCCCUCUCACACUGCUGCUUCUUGGCCUCUCCACUCAGUCUUCUGAGUGGCAGAGUUGCACCUUAGGUCAUCUGAAAUGAUUUCAUUUGUGCACAGCAGGUGACGGGCAGACAAUCGCCGAGCCCAUGGCGGUAGCCGGUGCAGGCCAGCGGUCCAUGCCAAGGAGAAUGCUGAAGCUGACCCCUCUCCGACGACUGAGGCGCCCCCGCUGAAAGGAGUUUGAAUUAUAGCC
rnacentral:lncRNA from 1 species